UAGUAAAUGCCUCCAAAUUACUAUACUGAUAUUUUAUAGGUACCUCAGAAACUCGAAAUUUUUAUAUUAACAUUUUCUAGACUUCUAGUCGAGAUACAGUUUUAAAAAAUAUUUAUAAUAUAAUAUUUGAGUUACAAUCAAUAUUUAUAUGGCACAAACCUUAAGCCACGCAACUUAAUAGAAAUAAUUAAUAAUAUUGGUACAUAACAUCCAUAAUGAUUAAUAUUAGCCGUUACAUUUAUGCACAAAGCAGUCCGACCUACGUCUACGAUAUUAUAAAAAUACGAUAAGUACAUCACUUUUUUCUAGCGGAGAUGUUGGUAACGUCGCUCUUGGAGAUACGUUGUGAAUUGUCUACCUCCGAUUACCGCCAAAACUCUAGGUCGGUUUAUGAGGUUUUUUUUUUAUCAUUCAAUCAUCUUAGCAAUCGUGACAUCGAACUACCGAAGAAGUGAUGCACAAGUAGGCAGGUACGCUGUACGAAGCCAGAAAGAUAAUACUAAAUGUUUUCGAUUAAGACUUCUACGCAUUUAGCGAUUCGUCGACAACAUAUCGGUUUUAAACGAUAAAUAUUUGCGUGACGAUCGGCUGUCGCGUUUGGGAGAUCGUUUAUGAUUUGAAAAACACCAAGUCUAAAAGUCAACGGUUUAAUCACAGACGUGAAUAAAGAAAUCUUAUGUACCGUGGUAAGUACCAACAAGGUAUCUACAUUUCAAUGAUAGCCACUUCUCACAACUAAAGGCGGGUUUCCACUACGUACGUGUACGCGCAUAAAAAUACUUUUCUGUGAUUGGUUGGAACGUGUAAACUUUCUGGUAUACCAAAAGCUUACCGUGUAUACCGACCGACCACAGAAAAUAAUUUUCUAUGCACGCACACGUCUGUAGUGGAAACCCACCUUAAUAGUAGUACAAAAAGAGUGGUAUAAAAUCUUUAUAAAUUUUUUGUAAAUCUUUAAUAAAUACACCAUAUUAUAAUAUAUAUAAUAAUUUAUAUAGUCGCACGAAUGUAUGCAUUAUGAUCAUGGACAUCUGAAGUCAUAUAAGUGUUAUGUUUUUGUCUUUAUCUUUGUUUUUUAUAUUUAUGUGAUUUUUCUAUGUAGGACGUAGGUGCAUAUAAUUAUAUCUAUAAAGAGCAAUCGUCUAUUAAUAUUUUUUAUUGGUCGUUGUAAUUUUUUUCCCCUAUAAUUCGUAUAAUGCGUUUUACGUGUUCUAAGUAUAUAGGUGGGGAAUGAAACGAUAUAGUUUAAAAAACGUUCUGUACAGAAACAACCAGUCAACGAUGGAACCGAAAUGACGUUCACCAAUAACUCAAUUAUUAAUCGGUAUAUAAAUAUUAAGGUAACAAUAAUAGAUGGGUGCAAACGACGACGUUGAAAGUGCCACUGAAUAAUUUUAAAAGGAGAGAGACAGCGAUGCAGCAUCGUCUGUUCAAUCGGUGAGUCCAAGCUGUGUAAUGUGUAUAUUAUUUAUUUCGCCUUUGCCCGAGU